AAAAUAACUAGGAUAAAUAACCUAGUUAGUCAUGAGUUCUUGGAUUUAAUAAGAAAUCUAGUUAAGAAAGGUCCUUUAUAAAACUUGAACAAGUAAAGGGGCUAAAGUUGACAAAAGUUAAAAUGGAUUUUUAUUUAUCAAAGAUUUAACACCAAAACACACACAAAGUGUGUGUUCUGGUCGCGUACAACACAGGAGCCAGGAAAGCUCCCUAAAACCCAAACCCUAAUCUACAAAUUUCUUCAAAUUGAGAAGCCAAAUCAAGUUCAAAUCAAAAACCAAGCUCAAACUAGUGAUCACUCAAGUGAGGGGAUCACAAGGCAAAAGAAUUGAAUCUUUAAGCGGACGAGCCAGAGUUGAUACGCGCUUGAAGGAAAAGCAUUAAAGGUGAUGCUCGUUUGUUGUGGACGUUGAUCAAGCAAGGGAAUCAAGAACCGAACACAAGUUUUGAAUGCUUCCGCGCUAAUCUAAUCUAGUUUUAAAACAUGUUGUUUUGUAAACUCUUUUGAAUGUUGAACAUUUUAAUCUAGUUAGUCGACUAUGUUUAAAUACUAUAAUGACGUACAUCUUAGUUAUUAACUAAACUUUUGUUGGUCAUGUAUUUCGAAUUUAAAA